rnacentral:rRNA from 1 species
GAUGAACGCUGGCGGCGUGCCUAAUACAUGCAAGUCGAGCGAACGGACGAGAAUCUUGUUUCUUUGAUGUUAGCGGCGGACGGGUGAGUCACACGUGUAUACCCUACCUAUAAGACUGGGAUAACUUCGGGAAUCCGUAGCUAAUACCGGAUAAUAUUUUGAACCGCAUGGUUCAAAAGUGAAAGACGGUCUUGCUGUCACUUAUAGAUGCAUCCGCGCUGCUUGGGCUAGUUGGUACGGUAACGGCUUACCAAGGCAACGAUGCAUAGCCGACCUGAGUGGGGGGUCGGCCGCACUGGAACUGAAACGCGGACCAUGCGCCUACGGGAGGCAGCAGUAGGCAAUCUGAGGCAAUAGGCGAAAGCCUGACGGAGCGGGGGCGCGCGUGUGAUAACGAUGUUCGGAGCGGGAAGAUCUGUUACUGGGGGAGAACCGAUUUCUAAUUAAAUGUGCAGAUCGUGACGGUACCUGAUAAGAAAGCCCCGGCUAACUACGUG